GACGAACGCUGGCGGCGUGCUUAACACAUGCAAGUCGACGACGCUACUGAGUAGCAAUAUUUAGUAGUGGAGUGGCGCAAGGGUGAGUAAUGUAUACGUAACCAACCCAUCGUUGACGGAUAACAUUUCGAAAGGGAUGCUAAACCGGCAUGAAGCCACGAUUUCGCAUGAGAUUGUGGUUAAAGAACCGGUAACAGGUUGCCGAUGGCUGGGCGUAUAUCCGAUUAGCUAGUUGGUAGUGUAAUGGACUACCAAGGCGACGAUCGGUAGCUGGUCUGAGAGGAUGCUCAGCCACACUGGCACUGAGACACGGGCCAGACUCCUACGGGAGGCAGCAGUGGGGAAUAUUGGGCAAUGCCCGAAAGGGUGACCCAGCAACGCCGGGUGGAGGAUGAAGGCCGUAAGGUUGUAAACUCUGACAAGCAGGGAAGAACGGCUAUGGUAAAAGGCCAUAGAAUGACGGUACCUGCAUGAAGCCCCGGCUAACUACGUG
rnacentral:rRNA from 1 species